ACGCUGGCGGCGUGCCUAGACAUGCGCGUCGAGCGAGUAAGCGCUUGCUCCCAUGAGGUUAGCGGCGGACGGGUGAGUAACACGUGGGUAACCUGCCCAUAAGACUGGGAUAACUCCGGGAAACCGGGCUAAUACCGGAUAACAUUUUGAACCGCAUGGUUCGAAAUUGAAAGCUUCGGCUGUAUGGAUGGACCCGCGUCGCAUUAGCUUGUUGGUCGGGUAACGGCUCACCAAGGCAACGAUGGGUAGCCGACUGACAGGGUGAUCGGCCACACUGGGACUGAGACACGGCCCAGACUCCUACGGGAGGCAGCAGUAGGGAAUCUUCCGCAAUGGACGAAAGUCUGACGGAACGACGCCCCUCGAGUGACGAACGGACUAGG
rnacentral:rRNA from 1 species